rnacentral:rRNA from 1 species
GAUGAACGCUAGCGGCAGGCUUAACACAUGCAAGUCGAGGGGCAUCGCGGGGUAGCAAUACUCUGGCGGCGACCGGCGAAAGGGUGAGUAACGCGUGAGCAACGUGCCCGUAUGUGGGGGAUAGUCAUUAGAAAUGAUGCGUAAUACCCCGUAACACAAGGAGCCGCAUGACUCCUUGUUGAAAGAUUUAUUGCAUACGGAUCGGCUCGCGUGCCAUUAGGUAGACGGCGGGGUAACGGCCCACCGUGCCGACGAUGGCUAGGGGUUCUGAGAGGAAGGUCCCCCACAUUGGAACUGAGACACGGUCCAGACUCCUACGGGAGGCAGCAGUGAGGAAUAUUGGACAAUGGCCGGAAGGCUGAUCCAGCCAUGCCGCGUGCGGGAAGGCGGCCCUAUGGGUUGUAAACCGCUUUUGCGGGGGAGCAAUAAGGUGCACGCGUGCACCGAUGAGAGUACCCUGCGAAUAAGCAUCGGCUAACUCCGUGCCAGCAGCCGCGGUAAUACGGAGGAUGCAAGCGUUAUCCGGAUUUAUUGGGUUUAAAGGGUGCGUAGGCUGUUCGUCAAGUCAGUGGUGAAAUGCCGGGGCUCAACCCCGGAGCUGCCAUUGAUACUGUCGGGCUUGAAUCCUGCUGCCGUGGGAGGAAUGUGUAGUGUAGCGGUGAAAUGCUUAGAGAUUACACAGAACACCGAUUGCGAAGGCAUCUCACGAAGGGUUGAUUGACGCUGAGGCACGAAAGCGUGGGGAUCAAACAGGAUUAGAUA